rnacentral:rRNA from 1 species
UACGGGGGGGGCAAGCGUUGUUCGGAAUUACUGGGCGUAAAGGGCUCGUAGGCGGCCAACUAAGUCAGACGUGAAAUCCCUCGGCUUAACCGGGGAACUGCGUCUGAUACUGGAUGGCUUGAGUUCGGGAUAGGGAUGCGGAAUUCCAGGUGUAGCGGUGAAAUGCGUAGAUAUCUGGAGGAACACCGGUGGCGAAGGCGGCAUCCUGGGCCGACACUGACGCUGAGGAGCGAAAGCCAGGGGAGCAAACGGG